AGAGUUUGAUCAUGGCUCAGAGUGAACGCUGGCGGCGUGCUUAACACAUGCAAGUCGAACGAUGAAACCCUGCUUGCAGGGUGAAUUAGUGGCGAACGGGUGAGUAAUAUAUAGCUAACCUGCCCCUUAGAGAGGGACAACAGUUGGAAACGACUGCUAAUACCUCAUACUCCUUUUUACCAUAUGGUAGAUUGGGAAAUGCUCCGGCGCUAAGGGAUGGGGCUUUACGGUAUCAGGUAGUUGGUGGGGUAAAAGCCUACCAAGCCAAUGACGCCUAGCUGGUCUGAGAGGAUGAUCAGCCACACUGGAACUGAGACACGGUCCAGACUCCUACGGGAGGCAGCAGUGGGGAAUAUUGCACAAUGGAGGAAACUCUGAUGCAGCAACGCCGCGUGGAGGAUGACGCAUUUCGGUGUGUAAACUCCUUUUAUAUCCCAAGAUAAUGACGGUAGGAUAUGAAUAAGGACCGGCUAACUCCGUGCCAGCAGCCGCGGUAAUACGGAGGGUCCAAGCGUUACUCGGAAUCACUGGGCGUAAAGGAUGCGUAGGCGGAUAAUCAAGUCAAAAGUGAAAUGCCACGGCUUAACCGUGGAACUGCUUUCGAAACUGGUUAUCUAGAAUAUGGAAGAGGCAGAUGGAAUUAGUGGUGUAGGGGUAAAAUCCGUAGAGAUC
rnacentral:rRNA from 1 species